GCUCACUCUCAACCAUCACGAGAUCAUGACCUAACCCGAAAUCAAGAGUCAGAUGCUUAACUGACUAAGCCACCCAGGCGCCCCUGUUAGAGUCCUUUAAAGAAGACAAGAGUCCAAGGAGAAUGGAAGAGAAGGAAGGAAUAUCAACAUCAACAAAAGAAGGAAGUGUGAUGUGGGUCUUAAAAAUGAGGUAGGAUUGGGAUGUGAGGAGCAUCUCUCUACAACAUCUUGCCUGCUGGUGCCAUGAUCCUGAAUAUUCAGUCACAGCUGGAACUGCUGGCAUGCACCACUGCCAUUGGUAGGUGGUAUUACCUGUGAUCUGAUCUCUUGCAUCUUGGACUGUGGCUGGUGGCCCUCCAUCUCAUGUGGCCUCACUCUGUUCCUGCUGAUUUGAAAGUCCUGUGACUCCCAUUCAUCUGCCACAACAUCAAACACUCUUGCUCAGAAAUAGAGCUCCCCAAACUCUCAGUUUCCUCUGUGUUGAAUCCACACCACUGGAGCACCAAAACCAAACAAGAAACACUAAAGCAUCAGAUAAGCCUGUCUCUUCCACCACACGACACCACCAGGAUUACUUUGAGGAAGCUGUCCCAGAGGUGACGUGGAAAGUGGUUGCCUUCUGGAGUCCCAGGUAGGGGUACAACAGAACUCUCAUGGCAUUGAAGACUCCAAGUUACCUAGAUGUUCCUAAAGCUACCCACUGUCCUUCAAGUUUGGCCUUGAGGCUGAGAUAAGAGGAGAACAAAGGACCGUGAGGAGCUCUUGCUCUACAGGCCUCUAUUAGGCAGCAGGGAAGGGGAGUUCCCUCCUUCCUGCCAGGUGGGGGACUCAUUUCUACACCUGGCCUUCCUGCGCCUGCUUCAAAUUGUUCUUGGACCUGGCCCAUUGCCUGCAGAGAAAAAAGGUAUAGGACAACCACGCAUUGUGUAACACAUUACAUCUCAGAGGGAAGUUGCCUGGAACUCUCCUCAGCUGGUUUAUAAAGGAGAAGCAAAGGAGCAGAGGUGCUACCUCGACCCGAAUGUCUGGUCUUUGGACAAGGAAAAUUUGAAGUGGAUUGGACUUAAGCCUGAACCAUCACCUACCUGAUUCAGCUUGUGAGGUUUACUGCUGUGUAAAGGUGUUUUUGUCCAGAUAUGCAAAGAUACCUGGAAGGUUCACAGAUGGGCACCCUCUCCUUCUCGGGAAAAUGAACAAAUAUUGAGUGCUUCUUGCUAUCCAGGGACUCCGCACCCAUAAUCUCAUCUCUACCUCAUCAAUCACAUCUAUCCCAAGCCUGCUGGCAUCCAACACAAGGCCUUUCGACAUCUGAACGAAAUAUCUGACCCUUCUCAGCCGGACCCACCCCUAACAUCUGUGGGGCCUGGGCAAGACUGCGACUGGAGAUCCAUGUACCAUAUGUCUAAAUAUUUAAAAGUUAGAACAUAUCUCUAAACACAGACACUUCAUGCCUGCAUCAGAUAUAUUCACCGAGACUUAUGUAUUAGAACCAAUUAAAGUAGCAUAAACUGGAAACGGUGUAAAUGUUCAACAAUGGGCCAUUUUGAUUAAUUAUAGUAUCCAUUCAUAUAGUAGAAUAACAAUGAGCUAUUAAAAAUUGUUAAUA